rnacentral:rRNA from 1 species
AUUAGAUAAAGAACCAAUAUUUUUGGUGACUCAUAAUAACUUUACGGAUCACAUUAUGCGACAUAUCAUUCAAGUUUCUGACCUAUCAGCUUUAGACGGUAGGGUAUUGGCCUACCGUGGCUAUGACGGGUAACGGGGAAUUAGGGUUCGAUUCCGGAGAGGGAGCCUGAGAAACGGCUACCACAUCUAAGGAAGGCAGCAGGCGCGCAAAUUACCCAAUCCUAAUACAGGGAGGUAGUGACAAGAAAUAACAAUACAGAACCUUACGGUUUUGUAAUUGGAAUGAGUUAAGUAUAAACCCCUUAACAAGUAUCAAUUGGAGGGCAAGUCUGGUGCCAGCAGCCGCGGUAAUUCCAGCUCCAAUAGCGUAUAUUAAAGUUGUUGCAGUUAAAAAGCUCGUAGUUAAUCUUCUGUUAAUUUUUAUAUAUAAUAUUUCGAUAUUUAUAUAAUAUUAACAUAAUUCAUAUUACUUUUUAGUAUAUGAAACUUUACUUUGAGAAAAUUAGAGUGCUUAAAGCAGGCUAUUGCCUCGAAUACUCCAGCAUGGAAUAAUAUUAAGGAUUUUUAUUCUUCUUAUUGGUUCUAGAAUAAAAAUGAUGAUUAAUAGGAACAGUUGGGGGCAUUUGUAUUUAACAGUCAGAGGUGAAAUUCUUAGAUUUGUUAAAGACAAACUACUGCGAAAGCAUUUGCCAAGGAUGUUUUCAUUAAUCAAGAACGAAAGUUAGGGGAUCGAAGACGAUCAGAUACCGUCGUAGUCUUAACCAUAAACUAUGCCAACUAGAGAUUGGAGGU